ACUCCUACGGGAGGCAGCAGUGAGGAAUAUUGGACAAUGGAGGCAACUCUGAUCCAGCCAUGCCGCGUGCAGGAAGACUGCCCUAUGGGUUGUAAACUGCUUUUAUACGGGAAGAAACAGCUCUACGUGUAGAGCCUUGACGGUACCGUAAGAAUAAGCACCGGCUAACUCCGUGCCAGCAGCCGCGGUAAUACGGAGGGUGCAAGCGUUAUCCGGAAUCAUUGGGUUUAAAGGGUCCGUAGGCGGACGAUUAAGUCAGAGGUGAAAGUCUGCAGCUCAACUGUAGAAUUGCCUUUGAUACUGGUUGUCUUUGAAUUAUUGUGAAGUGGUUAGAAUAAGUAGUGUAGCGGUGAAAUGCAUAGAUAUUACUUUAGAAUACCAAUUGCGAAGGCAGAUCACUAACAAUAUAUUGACGCUGAGGGACGAAAGCGUGGGAGCGAACAGGAUUAGAUACCCCUGGUAGCGACUGA
rnacentral:rRNA from 1 species